rnacentral:rRNA from 1 species
UACGUAGGGUGCGAGCGUUAAUCGGAAUUACUGGGCGUAAAGCGUGCGCAGGCGGUUUUGUAAGCCAGAUGUGAAAGCCCCGGGCUUAACCUGGGAAUGGCCAUGGAAACUGGCGGGCUGGAGUGUGGCAGAGGGGGGUGGAAUUCCGCGUGUAGCAGUGAAAUGCGUAGAGAUGCGGAGGAACACCGAUGGCGAAGGCAGCCCCCUGGGCUAACACUGACGCUGAGGCACGAAAGCGUGGGGAGCAAACAGG